rnacentral:rRNA from 1 species
GAUGAACGCUGGCGGCGUGCUUAACACAUGCAAGUCGAACGGGACUAUUCCAGAAUGAGGCUUCGGCCGAAAGACGGUUUAGUCUAGUGGCGGACGGGUGAGUAACGCGUGAGUAACCUGCCCUUCAGAGGGGGACAACAGCUGGAAACGGCUGCUAAUACCGCAUAUUGCAUCGGGACCGCAUGGUCCUGCUGUGAAAGAUUUAUCGCUGAAGGAUGGACUCGCGUCUGAUUAGCUAGUUGGUAGGGUAACGGCCUACCAAGGCGACGAUCAGUAGCCGGACUGAGAGGUUGACCGGCCACAUUGGGACUGAGAUACGGCCCAGACUCCUACGGGAGGCAGCAGUGGGGAAUAUUGGGCAAUGGGCGAAAGCCUGACCCAGCAACGCCGCGUGAAGGAAGAAGGCUUUCGGGUUGUAAACUUCUUUGACCAGGGAAGAAACAAAUGACGGUACCUGGAAAACAAGCCACGGCUAACUACGUGCCAGCAGCCGCCGUAAAAC